rnacentral:rRNA from 1 species
AGCUCUACCUUAGUUUUUUUGUUAAGCUGAACAAGACCUCAAACUUAAGAGCUAUUCAAAUAAGGCACAGCUUAUUUGAAAUAGGAUACAACCUACAACAUAGGGUAACCGAGAGUAACUUAAAUAAAGUGGGCCUAAAAGCAGCCAUCUUUAAAAAAGCGUUAAAGCUUAACUACUCCUCACUCACAAUACCUAAAGCCCUCACUAACCCCUCAUUACUAUUGAACAGUUUUAUACUCAUAUAAAAGCUAUUAUGCUAGAACUAGUAACAAGAAAUUGCCUUUCUCCUAAAUGUAAGUAUACACCAAAAUAAACUCUGUUGGCUAUUAACGUGAAUGCUAAACUAUAGUAACGCCCGCUAGAAAACUCUAUAACUCUUAACGUUAACCUUACACCAGAACAUUCCAGGAAAGAUUAAAAGAAAAAGAAGGAACUCGGCAAAUCAUAGCCCCGCCUGUUUACCAAAAACAUCGCCUCUUGCAAAACAUAAGAGGUCCAGCCUGCCCAGUGACGAAGUUCAACGGCCGCGGUACCCUAACCGUGCGAAGGUAGCAUAAUCACUUGUUCUUUAAAUGAGGACUUGUAUCAACGGCACUACGAGGGCUAUACUGUCUCCUUUUUCCAAUCAGUGAAACUGAUCUCCCCGUGAAGAAGCGGGGAUCAAAAUAUAAGACGAGAAGACCCCAUGGAGCUUUAAACUCUCUGUACACUUCUGUGCCCCUACAUCAUUAGACAUAAGAAAUCUGUACACUAGUUUUAGGUUGGGGGGACCACGGAGUACAACUUAACCUCCUUAACAAAUGGGUUAAUACCCUUAUCCACGAGACACACCUCUAAGAAUUAUUAAACUAAUGCCUAUGACCCGAUAUUCGAUCAAUGAACCAAGUUACCCUGGGGAUAACAGCGCAAUCUACUUCAAGAGCCCAUAUCGACAAGUAGGUUUACGACCUCGAUGUUGGAUCAGGGUAUCCCGGUGGUGCAGCCGCUACCAAUGGUUCGUUUGUUCAACGAUUAAAACCCUACGUGAUCU